rnacentral:tRNA from 1 species
GGAAGCGCUCGGCUAGCUGGUGCGGCCUGCGGUCUUCAAAACCGUUGUGGGGCAGUUCUGCUGUCCUGGGCAGGUUCGAUUCCUGUGCGUUUCCGCCA